UGGCAGGUGAUCAGCAUCCAAGUGCAUGA
rnacentral:misc_RNA from 1 species